UUCCUCUAAAAACUGGUGAAAUGCGUCGGUUUUCUAGAGCCUUUGGGCAGGUUUUAUCUUACUAGUAAUCAUGUAGUCAAGCAAGAUUACUGUCAACAUUCCUUGGACUUGUUCCUUUGGGUAUCUGGGCUAGCAGAUAAACUUUAGUGGCUAAAAAAAUUAUAAAGUAACACACACAGAGCUCACACUCUUUAACUUUUAUUCGAAAGCCCCUAGUUGAGUAUUAGCAACUCCUUUCAAAGCGAACUAUUCUUAUACGACGCCUAGGGAGAUCAUGGGAAACCGUUGGUGAAAUUUCGGUGCAUACAUGCUUAGUUAUGUUGGGCACUACUGUUCAUCCGAGUGAGUAGUUACGGACGAAAGCCAUGACAGAAAGAACUUCAUAAUGAGCGAUGAAAGUUAGCAUCCUUGUUAGAUUCAGAACGACUGAUAAUACUGCAAAAUUUAAUUGGUACUGAUGCUUUGCUAUUCGGGGCGCCUUGAUCGAUGCAAUGAGUAAGUGUAGUGUCUAAAGAGUGCUAGCUACUUGUACUAUAUAUAUAAUCGGCGCUUUGAGGUUCAGACUUUCAGGUGUCGUCUAGAGUAGUUACGAUAUUUACAGCAUUAGGGCGGGGCUUCUUUCUAGAUCAAUUGUUUUUAGAAUGGACUUAAUUUUCGGCUUUAGCUGUGAUUGUAUAAGAGUUUUAUGACGAGAAAAAAAAGGAUCUGAAAGGGUUAUGAGAAUUAGGCAACCACACGUUUACCCUUUCCAUUAGUACCAAUGACUAUGUAUUGAAAACCAUUAGAAUCUAUACCUAUUAAAAGGUAUCAACGUAGAGUAUAGACCAGAUUUACCAAGUUCUCUAAGUCUUUAAGAUUAACAGCUGAAGAAAAUAUGAAGUUUUAUCGGUCUAAGUUGCGUAUGUAGUUUAUUUGUGACUAAUCCUGACUAAGGGCUCGAGUAUCCGAAGUCGCAGAUUCGGUUCAAGCGACAGGGAUUUUCAGCGAAGAGUGGUAUAAAACGCCAUAUAGAAUAAAAAACAAGUCUGGUAUCGGUGAGGCCAUAACCUUGAAUUCUUUCUUGCCGUGGGUUUACUUUUAAAAAUUUUUCACUUUGAUAUUUACCUUUCCUAGAACAUUUUUAUUUUUGUAGAAUGCUUGAAAUUGAACUAGACUUUCAAUUUGUU